rnacentral:rRNA from 1 species
AUUGAACGCUGGCGGCAGGCCUAACACAUGCAAGUCGAACGAGUGGCGGACGGGUGGGUAAUGUCUGGGCAACUGCCUGAUGGAGGGGGAAAACUACUGUAAACGGUAGCUAAUACCGCAUACCAUCAUAUGUGACCAGAUGGGAUUAGCGAGUUGGUGGGGUAACGGCUCACCAGGGCGACGAUCCCUAGCUGGUCUGAGAGGAUGACCGGCCACACUGGAACUGAGACACGGUCUAGACUCCUACGGGAGGCAGCAGUGGGGAAUAUUGCACAAUGGGCGCAAGCCUGAUGCAGCCAUGCCGCGUGUAUGAAGAAGGCUUUCGGGUUGUAAAGUACUUUCAGCGGGGAGGCGUUACCCGCAGAGGAAGCACCGGCUAACUCCGUGCCAGCAGCCGCGGUAAUUC